GGUGAUUCCCUAUGGCGCCCAUUGUGCCCCUAUGGGGCCCUAUAUCUCCCUAUGGGGACCCAAUAUCUCCCUAUGGGGUCCCUAUGGGGCCCCAAUGUCUCUCUAUGGGGACCCUAUAUCUCCCUAUGGGGACCCUAUAUCUCCCCAUUGUGCCCCUAUGGGGCCCUAUAUCUCCCUAUGGGGUCCCUAUAGGGUCCCAUUGUGUCCCUAUGGGGUCCCUAUACCCCUAUGGGGCCCCAUUGUGUCCCUAUGGGGCCCUAUAGGAUCCAUAUUCCGCCCCACAGCUCUCCCCCCGGACCUGGUCCCGUUGCUGUCGGCCAUGUUGGAUCCUGACCCACGGCGCCGCCCCACAGCGGGAUCCCUAUUGAGGACGGAGCCCAUGAGGAGGGCGGCCAGAUGGCGGCCCUAUAGCCGGCUAUUGGAUGUGGGGCUCAGGAGGGGGGCCAGCAUCAUACAGAGCUGCAUGGCCGCCCUAUGGCACCUGUGGGCCUCGCUAUGGGGCUGGGCUAUGGGGCAGAGCUCCCCUAUCACCCCACCCCACAGCCCCCUCCGGCCCCACAUCGACCCAUGGGAUGAAGAAGAGGAAGAGGAGGAGGACGAGGCACCGUGGGGCCACAGCCCCCAUUGGAGCCCCACAACCUUCGGCCCCAUAGACACCCCACGGCAUCGCGGGAAGCCAUUGAGGUGAGUGCUGCCCCAUAGCUGCCCCAUAGACACCCCAUAGGUACCCCAUAGCUGCCCCAUUGCUGUCCCAUUGCAGCCCCAUAAAGACCCCAUAGACACCCCAUAGAUACCCCAUAGCUGCCCCAUAGAUACCCCAUAGCUGCCCCAUAGAGACCCAUAGAGCCCUAUAGUGACCCAUAGCUGCCCCAUAGAGACCCAUAGAGCCCUAUAGUGACCCAUAGUUGCCCCAUAGAGACCCAUAGUGACCCAUAGAGACCCAUAGCUGCCCCAUAGAGGCCCAUAGAGCCCUAUAGUGACCCAUAGCUGCCCCAUAGAGACCCAUAGAGCCCUAUAGUGACCCAUAGUUGCCCCAUAGAGACCCAUAGAGCCCUAUAGUGACCCAUAGCUGCCUUAUAGAGACCCUAUAGAGACCCAUAGCUGCCCUAUAGAGGCCCAUAGAGACCCAUAGUGACCCAUAGACACCCCAUAGCUGCCCCAUAGCUGCCCCAUAUCUGCCCCAUAGAUACCCCAUAGAUACCCCACAUCUGCCCCAUAGCUGCCCUAUAACCCUGCCCCAUAGCUGCCCCAUA
rnacentral:lncRNA from 1 species